UGUGAGUGCAAGAGUAAUCACUUUUAAAGCACUGUUACGAAAUCUUAUUUAUAGAUUUAUCUGCCUGCUAAAUGUUUCAAAAAAUGAGAUUAUUGUGGGUCUAUCAAUAUAAUGUAAUAUAAGGGUUAGUACUACAAGGUAUCAGUCAAAGCUGUGGAGACAUUGGUAUUGUUGCAUUUUGUAACUUUUUAUUGUGUGUGUGGUAGAUGCUGUGGGUUGUAUAUGUUGUCCUAUUGUCUUUUUACUGGUGUGUGUGGCCCUACUUGUUUCUGAAAAGAAACAUUUUCUAGUCCUACCGGUUUCUGUUACUGUUUAUCAAAACACGUAGACUAUUGUUUGUUUUGAAGUCGAUGUUAAAUUUGAGAUUGUGAUUUAUCUCGACGGUUGACUGUUUUAUAUUAGUGCUUGUCAGCAAACAAUCUUUUUUCCAACUUUUUUCACAUGAAAUAUAAACCACUUUAUAUACGUAUACAUUAGUUCAACCAGUUUUGAUAAACAUAAAGAGACCGUCUUUUAAACCAGUUAUAUAACAGGUGUGCAGUAUGUAAUAUUGACAGCUAGCAGUCCAAAUUCAAAUUAUUGUUUCUCCCGUGCCCUCUUCCUCAGAUGGGACGCCUCAGAGAGUUAUCAGAUUGAGGAUACGCAACGGAAUGAGCACAAAUGAGAGUGGAAGAUCCAAGAGAGCAAUUAAAAGUCAAACCUCAACUGAAGAACAGUUCUGUCCCUUUGCAAGAUCCAAGGGGUGUCUGCUUUUUUGCUAUUAUGCUACCCACAGUUGGAACCAGCUUCCAGAAGAAUCAAAUGUGCUAAAUUAGUAGCCAUAUUUAAAUCCAGACUUUCUUUCAAUUUACAUUAUUCCCCCUUUCAGUUUACCUUAAUAUUUGUAGUUCUUUUUCACAUGAUCUCAAAAUUCAAGUCAGUUGAAUUUUAAACUUUAAGUCUCCCAGAAAAAAUAUUAUUUUUUUAUUUAAUUAAAAAAAAUAUAUAAUAAUAAUCUAAAUGUACUUCAUCUUAUAUAUAGAUUUACUUUAAUCAUUAAUGUUAGAACCUCUCAUGUAUUUACCUCUGUCUUAUCUAAACAAAGUUCAAAGGGGUCAUAUGAUGCAAUUUUAAGUUUUCCUUUUUCUUUGAAGUGUUACAAGCUGUUCCUGAAUAGAUAAGAUCCCUAAAGUUGCAAAGACUAAAGUCUCAAACCCAAAGAGAUAUUCUUUAUAAAAGUUAAGACUCGUCCACGCCCUCCUAAAACACAAAGUUCAAACACGCCCCCACAUGUAUUUCAUCUAUCAUCUUUUAUUCUUAACGUUAAAUCAUUUUAGAACAAAAACACAUCUGUUCAGCUCUGCAUUUAAUUAAUGAGCACUGUGCUAUGUCCGAAGUGAUUACUUUGUAUUUCAUGUAUCAUUUUUAUUCUUAACUGUUUUAAUUCAUUUGAAAUCAAACGUUAAAUCAUUUUAAAAUGGAAAUUCCUUGCUUUUAUUGUUGUGAUUUUUUAAUGAUUAUUUUAAUUCCUUUUAUGUAAAACACUUUGAAUUGCCAUUUUGUAUGAAACGUGUUAUAAAAAAAUAAAAAAUAAAAAACUUGUCA
ensembl:lncRNA